rnacentral:rRNA from 1 species
UACGUAGGGGGCAAGCGUUGUCCGGAAUUACUGGGCGUAAAGAGCUCGUAGGUGGUUUGUCGCGUUGUUCGUGAAAACUCACAGCUCAACUGUGGGCGUGCGGGCGAUACGGGCAGACUUGAGUACUGCAGGGGAGACUGGAAUUCCUGGUGUAGCGGUGAAAUGCGCAGAUAUCAGGAGGAACACCGGUGGCGAAGGCGGGUCUCUGGGCCGAUACUGACGCUGAGGAGCGAAAGCGUGGGGAGCGAACAGG